GAACUAAAAGGAAGAAGUAAACAACUGCUAAUGUAGAUAGCUAUUUUAUAGUAUAUAAUUUGUUUCCAAUUAUAUCUGCCUAAGGGGUUAUUUUUAUCAAAUUAUUGGUUUUGUCAGGGUGCCUCUUAAAUUUAUUUGCUUAAUAGGGAAAAAAAGAGAAGUUAAUUGUUUGACACGCUGAAGUUUGAGUAGUAUGUGCAACUUGUUAUGCGUAAUUUUAUAAUGAGUGUGUAACAGGUUUCUAUGAUAAAAUGGAGCUUUGACAGUGGAAGCGCCAGCAGAUUCCCUGCAUUUGACGGAGAUUACUGUAUGCAUACGAGAUAAUACUGUUCUUCAGCUGUGUACAUUGAGAAUGUGAGGGUCUGUUUGUGUUUUGCCCAAGUAAGUCUAAUUUACAUAGACACAUAAUGUGUUUGAUUUAUUUCGAUAUGUUGUUUGAAGUUUAUUGUGGUGGUAAUAGUGAUUUUUGAGAUGGAAUGUUAUCUUUCUGCUCAUGUUUCAUAGUGAACAGGGUCACAAGUGGUAUCAUAUUAAUUCUGGAAAAGAUAAAAGAAUGGUAAUGAGACCUACCAAAUUGUAUGAUGGUCAAUUUAAGUGUAAAAAAAUUAGCUUUGCAACUUGCAAAGUUUUGAGAAAAUAACAGAAUGAGAUUAAAGAGGAAUACAACGACUCAAUACAGAGGUUCUGUGGCACUGACCGAAUGGUAUGGCUGAAGAAGCUACAAGGAACGAACCAAUGCCGCUGGUUUUCACUCACAAAUUGUGUCAAGUAAGACUCAAGUAUGGCAUUUACCCGGUCGGGUGGAAAGUCGUGGUGAAGUGCAACUCCUAACCCAAGAGUGGAAAGAGCUCCGUCCAAAACUGACCCGCGAAGCGCACAAAUCAGCCCAUUUGUCGGUUUUCUUCUUACUUCGUUGCUUUUACAUGUUUUCUCGAUAUGUCUCUAUUUUUUCUUUUGGUUCUUUGAUUAUGAUUAUAGCCUUCUUUUAUGAAGUUAAAAUCUUGCAGAAUAAGUAACUUCUUGGUUCAUUGUCAACCCUUUUUAUGUUGUCUUGUUACAGUCGGUGGACCCACAAGUGAAACUGUAAAUAAUAAGAUAAUAAGAACUGAGAGGGAUUAAUUUGUC